rnacentral:rRNA from 1 species
UACGAAGGGGGCUAGCGUUGUUCGGAAUUACUGGGCGUAAAGCGCACGUAGGCGGAUUGUUAAGUUAGGGGUGAAAUCCCAGGGCUCAACCCUGGAACUGCCUUUAAUACUGGCAAUCUCGAGUCCGAGAGAGGUGAGUGGAAUUCCGAGUGUAGAGGUGAAAUUCGUAGAUAUUCGCAAGAACACCAGUGGCGAAGGCGGCUCACUGGUCCGAUACUGACGCUGAGGUGCGAAAGCGUGGGGGAGCAAACAGG